rnacentral:rRNA from 1 species
UACGGAGGGUGCAAGCGUUAUCCGGAUUUACUGGGUUUAAAGGGUGUGUAGGCGGACUUUUAAGUCAGCGGUGAAGUCUCCGGGCUCAACCCGGAAACUGCCAUUGAUACUAUUGGUCUUGAAUGUUGUUGAGGUGGGCGGAACGGGUCAUGUAGCGGUGAAAUGCAUAGAUAUGACCCGGAACACCGAUUGCGAAGGCAGCCCACUAAGCAACGAUUGACGCUGAGGCACGAAAGCGUGGGGAUCAAACAGG